UGGGGAAUAUUGGACAAUGGGCGCAAGCCUGAUCCAGCCAUGCCGCGUUAGUGAUGAAGGCCCUAGGGUUGUAAAGCUCUUUCACCGGCGAAGAUAAUGACGGUAACCGGAGAAGAAGCCCCGGCCAACUUCGUGCCAGCAGCCGUGGUAAUACGAAGGGGGCACGCGUUGCUCGGAUUUACUGGGCGUAAAGCGCACGUAGGCGGACUUUGAAGUCAGGGGUGAAAUCCCGGGGCUCAACCCCGGAACUGCCUUUGAUACUGGAAGUCUUAGGGAUGGUAGAAGUGAGUGGAAUUCCGAGUGGAGAGGUGAUAUUCGUAGAUGUGCGGGGGAACACCAGUGGCGUAGGCGGCUCACUAGACCAUUACUAACGCUGAGGUGCGAAAGCGUGGGGAGCAAACAGG
rnacentral:rRNA from 1 species